CCUUCACUUAUUUAGUGCAUACAAGACGCAUGAUUAGUUAGUGUAAUGUGAUAAGGGGAGAUCUCCUAUUUUUUUAGUUGAUGGCUAUAAAGCUUCUUGUCCACAAACAGGAUAUUCAGCUAAUUUUGAACCAACGAUUCAGAAAUUUGGUUGAAUACAUAUAAGGGGGGAGCAUAACAGUAGUGGUGCUCGUUGAAGUCUUUCGCCUUGCAUACUGGAAUCCAAAUCGAAUGAAAAGCAUGGUGAAUUGAGGGAGCAAAGAGCAGCAUCAAUGCUACACUUUGAAGCUGAAUCAUGGUGAAAGCCUCAAAGAUGGGUGAUGCUCUGACACCAGAAGCAUCUUGAGUACAUAUGGACAGAAGAAGUGUACGACUGCAAGGGCGAAACUCAUUUGCGUGCGAGAUAAUUUUAGUUCCUUUGUUGAACGUACACCAACACAGACUUGUGCUGAACUGAAUCAUAUUCGUUUGGUGUUAUCUCUCCCUGCAAAUGAAGCUUGAUGAGAGACAAGCAUUCGAACCGGAGGCAAACGUCAACUGAACAAUAUUAUGUCAUGUACAAUCAAGAUAGCAAAUGCUCGCUGAGCGGUUGAUCAUUUUAGUACUUAAUAUUUGGUUUUGCUGGUCAUGUAAUAAAAAUAAUCAUCUCAUGUUAUGGAUCACUUCACAUGCAUGUAUGUGGAUCAAAGUCGACCCAGAAAUGGAAUA